GCCCUUAGGGGGUGGUUGCCACCUGUCCAGACAACCCCACCACAUAGUGAGGAGAUGAGGAAACUGAGGCCAGAAAGAUAAACUAACAGAACAUGCCAGAAGAGAAAUGCCAGAGUCAUGACAGCCAGAACCAGGACACCAUGCUGAAGGUAGAGCCACAAAACUUCAACCAUGAUGACAAAAGCCACACACUCAAUAUUAAUGGUGUAGGAAGCCAGACAUGUCUGGGUUCAUGGUUGCUUUGGAGGGCCAGCUUACCAGCWAGGCUGGCCA